CAGGCACUGGGGGAUCCCCCAGCCUUCUCCAGCAGCUCCUUCUCUUCCCCCUCCUUGAGCUGCCAGGGCUUCCCUGCGGCUCCAGCGCUCCCCGGGCACUGCGGGGCUGGGGCAGAAGUGAACUCCAGCCAAAGGCUCUGAGAAUUCCCAAAGGCAGCCGAGCACAGAGGGCCCUGGGAGCGCCUGCACUGCCCUGCUGGGAUGGAGCUGGGGAUUAUCCGAGGAUUGAGGCUCCUCAGGCGCUCUGGGCAGCAGCUGCCGGCUCCAGGGGCUGCAGGAACAUCCCUGGCAGGGUCAGGAGCUGAGCCCAGCCCUGCAGGGAGAGCUCCAGGCUCUCCCAGGACACGGAGCUGCAGAUCCCACGGCUCACUGGCAUCAGCAGAACGCCAGAAGAGCUCCUCACCCCUCCUGGAAUCAGCCUGGCUGCUCCUGAGAGAUGCUCAGAUGCAUCAGGAGGGAGCAGCAGAAGUGACUCCAAAACCACGGCCUGGGAACAAGCUGAAAUGUCUCCUGGAGGAAUGAAGACCAAUAUUCCCAGAGGAGGAGGAGGAGGAGCUGGAAGCCCCUUCUGUGCAAGGUCUGCUGUUCCCUUUUGGGUGUUUCUAGCUCUGUCCGUCUGUCUGUCCCUUCGUUAGCGGCAGAGAUGUUUGUAAUGAGGAGCGGGGUGGCUCUGUUUUCUCCACAUGCAUCAAAAUGCAGCUAAGACAAAACUGAACAGAAAAUCUCCAAGUGUCUCCAGGGACUGUGGCACUGGAAGGGAGGUAAAAACAUUGAUUUUUGGGAUUC
rnacentral:lncRNA from 1 species